UACAGAGGUCCCAAGCGUUGUUCGGAUUCACUGGGCGUAAAGGGUGCGUAGGUGGUGAGGUAAGUCGGAUGUGAAAUCUCCGGGCUCAACCCGGAAAUGGCAUUGGAAACUACCUUGCUGGAGGAUUUGAGGGGGGAUUGGAAUACUUGGUGUAGCAGUGAAGUGCGUAGAUAUCAAGUGGAACACCAGUGGCGAAGGCGAAUCCCUGGAAAAUACCUGACACUGAGGCACGAAAGCUAGGGGAGCAAACAGG
rnacentral:rRNA from 1 species